UUGAACGCUGGCGGCAUGCCUUACACAUGCAAGUCGAACGGUAACGCGGGGCAACCUGGCGACGAGUGGCGAACGGGUGAGUAAUGUAUCGGAACGUGCCCAGUAGUGGGGGAUAGCCCGGCGAAAGCCGGAUUAAUACCGCAUGAGACCUGAGGGUGAAAGCGGGGGAUCGCAAGACCUCGCGCUACUGGAGCGGCCGAUAUCAGAUUAGGUAGUUGGUGGGGUAAAAGCCUACCAAGCCGACGAUCUGUAGCUGGUCUGAGAGGACGACCAGCCACACUGGGACUGAGACACGGCCCAGACUCCUACGGGAGGCAGCAGUGGGGAAUUUUGGACAAUGGGCGAAAGCCUGAUCCAGCCAUGCCGCGUGCAGGAUGAAGGCCUUCGGGUUGUAAACUGCUUUUGUACGGAACGAAAAGACUCCUUCUAAUAAAGGGGGUUCAUGACGGUACCGUAAGAAUAAGCACCGGCUAACUACGU
rnacentral:rRNA from 1 species